rnacentral:rRNA from 1 species
AAUCUUCCACAAUGGACGAAAGUGUGAUGGAGCAACGCCGCGUGCGUGAAGAGGGUUUUCGGAUCGUAAAACUAUGUUGUAAGGGAAGAACAAGUACAGUAGUAACUGGCUGUACCUUCACGGUACCUUAUUAGAAAGCCACGGCUAACCACGUGCCAGCAGCCGCGGUAAUACGUAGGUGGCAAGCGUUGUCCGGAAUUAUUGGGCGUAAAGCACGCGCAGGCGGUCCUUUAAGGAUGAUGGUGAAGCCCACGGCUCAACCGUGGAGGGUCAUUUGAAACUGGGGGACUUGAGUGCAGAAGGAGAAAGUGGAAUUCCAAGUGUAGCGGUGAAAUGCGUAGAGAAUUGGAGGAACACCAGUGGCGAAGGCGACUUUCUGGUCUGUAACUGACGCUGGGGCGCGAAAGCGUGGGGAGCAAACAGG